AUAUUUAUAUAUAUAUAUAUAAGCAACCUUAUGGCCAUAAUAACAUUGUAAAUUCACAAACACAAGCUUCCAUUAGCACACAAAUAUUUCAAAUUAAUAUAUACAUAUAUAUAUAGCUCUCCCAUUUGUUCAGCAUGAUUUCAAGAAUUCAAUAUUUUACUAUAAUUUAUUUUCUUCUUUCUCUCCUCUUGAGCUCUAAGCCUUCAGCUACCGAGGCCAGCAGGACUUUGAAUAUUGGAUUACCUCUCGGCGUGAUGAAGCUAUCGGGACCAAGCCCCCGCGUUAAUGGACAUAUGAUCAUGAGGCACAAAGAAGAACUUACAACACUUGGAAAUUUAAAGGACUCUGGCCCUAGUCCUGGUGAGGGCCACAAAUAUGUUGCAGGCAAUCACCACUAAUAAAUGCAUGCCAUUGAUGAUGGAUUUUUACCAGUAUUAAUUUUCAACUCUAUGUUUAUCUUCAUGUGUGUAUAUACAUAUAUAUGAUUUGUUACAACACAAAUAUAGAAUUAUAGAAAUGUUAUCCCUUUUUUCUUAGCCUACAUUACAUCGAUCAGUCCACUCUAUAAGAGUAUAUUGCAUGAUCAAUCAGGUACGUUCAUCAAUCAUCAAUCAACUAGGCUAGCUAGCUAUGUGAAGAAAGAAUUGUGUAGAACAUCUAAAUGAUGUAGAUUGUUUGAGAUCAUAUAUAAACUAUGUGAAGUAAUUUGUAUUGCUUUGUAGGAUUGAUUGUUGGAUAUUUUCAAAAUUUGUCGUUACAUAAUAAAUAUAUUAUAUUAUUGUAAUAACUAAUAGAUGGAUUGAUUUAAUUUGAUCAGGUGUAACGUUGAAUCGGUGCAAUAGUUUAACUUGAGUCACUAGUUUGAACAGGUGUAACAUUGAAUCGUUGGAAUGAUUCAAUUCGGGUCACUAGUUUGAAUUAGUGUGAUUGCUAGUUUGAGCGAGUGUAACAUUGAACCAAUG
rnacentral:lncRNA from 1 species